CCUGAGAAACCCAAAAGAUCGAAUGGGGAGAUUCAUCGUCAGCGGUUCCCGGCGAGCGGGCGGACCGCGAUGCCGGCUGCAUUGCGCAGUCCGGCACGCGUCCGCGCGUCCCAAUUGCCGGGUCUCGUCGGCGUGCACUUCUCCCCUAGUAGGACGUCGCGACCCGUCGGGUGUCGGUCUACGACCCGGGUGGGCGCCUGCCGCGGGCAACCCCCUCGCGGGGCGUUCGCUCGUUGCAGACCCCCGGUAGUCCGACCAGCUGCCCGGCGGUACCCGCACGGUAUCGGGCCGCAAUCAAUUUUCGCACGAUGCGUCCGACCCCGCCGCAAGCCUUGGCCAGUGAACCAAUUAUCCCGGAUGAACGGACGAAGCGCCGUCGCCGGGCCUGGCCGGCUGUUGGUUGGCGGUGCGCUCGGACCGGCCCGUGGCUCAAUUACCGGUCGGCGACGCUACUGCUUUGGGUACUCUCAGGACCCGUCUUGAAACACGGACCAAGGAGUCUAACAUGUGCGCGAGUCAUUGGGAGAAUCAAGCCUAAAGGCGCAAUGAAAGUGAAGGUCGGCCCGGCGCCGAUCGAGGGAGGAUGGUCCGCGUUACGAUGCGGUCCCGCACUCCCGGGGCGUCUCGUUCUCAUUGCGAGAAGCGGCGCACCCAG
rnacentral:rRNA from 1 species